UACAGAGGUCCCGAGCGUUGUUCGGAUUCAUUGGGCGUAAAGGGUGCGUAGGCGGUCUUCUAAGUUUGAUGUGAAAUCCCGGGGUUCAACCCUGGAAUUGCAUUGAAUACUGGAGGACUAGAGUACCGGAGAGGAAACUGGAAUUUACGGUGUAGCAGUGAAAUGCGUAGAGAUCGUGAGGAAGACCAGUGGCGAAGGCGGGUCUCUGGACAGUUCCUGACACUGAGGCACGAAGGCCAGGGGAGCAAACGGG
rnacentral:rRNA from 1 species